UUAAAUAGCCGCAGUAUUUUGACUGUGCGAAGGUAGCAUAAUCAUUUGUCUUUUAAUUGAAGGCUUGUAUGAAUGGUUGGAUGAGGGAAUUACUUUCUUUACAUUAAUUGGUUGAAUUUAAUUUUUAGGUUAAAAAGCUUAAAUAUUUAAGUGGGACGAGAAGACCCUUUAGAGUUUGAUUCAUAUUUUUAUAUUGUAUUAAUUUGGUUAAUUAUUAAUGUAAUAUAUUUAUGAAUUUUGUUGGGGUGACAGUGAGAUUUACUUAACUCUCAUAGUAUAAAUUUUAUUGAUUUGUAUAUUAACGAUCCUGUUUUAUGGAUAUUUAGAUUAAAUUACCUUAGGGAUAACAGCGUUAUUUUUUCGGAGAGUUCUUAUCGAUGAAGGAGUUUGCGACCUCGAUGUUGGAUUAAAAUAAGAUUUAAGUGCAGCAGCUUAAAUUCUAGGUCUGUUCGACCUUUAAUAUUUUACAUGAUCUGAGUUCAAACCG
rnacentral:rRNA from 1 species